AUUGAACGCUGGCGGCAGGCUUAACACAUGCAAGUCGAGCGGGGUGAUGGUGCUUGCACUAUCACUUAGCGGCGGACGGGUGAGUAAUGCUUAGGAAUCUGCCUAUUAGUGGGGGACAACAUCUCGAAAGGGAUGCUAAUACCGCAUACGUCCUACGGGAGAAAGCAGGGGAUCACUUGUGACCUUGCGCUAAUAGAUGAGCCUAAGUCGGAUUAGCUAGUUGGUGGGGUAAAGGCCUACCAAGGCGACGAUCUGUAGCGGGUCGGAGAGGAUGAUCCGACACCCUGGGACUGAGACACGGCCCAGACUCCUACGGGAGGCAGCAGUGGGGAAUAUUGGACAAUGGGGGGAACCCUGAUCCAGCCAUGCCGCGUGUGUGAAGAAGGCCUUAUGGUUGUAAAGCACUUUAAGCGAGGAGGAGGCUCUUUUGGUUAAUACCCAAGAUGAGUGGACGUUACUCGCAGAAUAAGCACCGGCUAACUCUGUGCCAGCCGCCGCUGUAACAC
rnacentral:rRNA from 1 species